UACGUAGGGUGCGAGCGUUGUCCGGAAUUACUGGGCGUAAAGAGCUCGUAGGUGGUUUGUCACGUCGUCUGUGAAAUUCCGGGGCUUAACCUCGGGCGUGCAGGCGAUACGGGCAAUACUUGAGUGCUGUAGGGGAGACUGGAAUUCCUGGUGUAGCGGUGAAAUGCGCAGAUAUAAGGAGGAACACCAAUGGCGAAGGCAGGUCUCUGGGCAGUUACUGACGCUGAGGAGCGAAAGCAUGGGUAGCGAACCGGAUUAGAUACCCCGGUAGU
rnacentral:rRNA from 1 species